rnacentral:rRNA from 1 species
AUUGAACGCUGGCGGCAGGCCUAACACAUGCAAGUCGAACGAGUGGCGGACGGGUGAGUAAUGUCUGGGAAACUGCCUGAUGGAGGGGGAUAACUACUGGAAACGGUAGCUAAUACCGCAUACCAUCAGAUGUGCCCAUAUGGGAUUAUCUAGUUGGUGGGGUAACGGCUCAACAAGGCUUCGAUCACUAGCUGGUCUGAGAGGAUGACCAGCCACACGGGAACUUAGACACGGUCCAGACUCCUCCGGGAGGCAGCAGUGGGGAAUAUUGCACAAGGGGCGCAAGCCUGAUGCAGCCAUGCCGCGUGUAUGAAGAAGGCCUUCGGGUUGUAAAGUACUUUCAGCGGUGAGGCGUUACCCGCAGAAGAAGCACCGGCUAACUCCGUGCCAGCAGCCUCGGUAAUUC